AUUAAAUCAGUUAUAAUUUAUUUGAUAGUACCUUUACUUGGAUAACUGUGGUAAUUCUAGAGCUAAUACAUGCUAAAAACCUCGACUUCGGGAGGGGUGUAUUUAUUAGAUUAAAAACCAAUGCCCUUCGGGGCUCUUUGGUGAUUCAUAAUAACUAAACGAAUCGCAUGGCCUUGCGCCGGCGAUGGUUCAUUCAAAUUUCUGCCCUAUCAACUUUCGAUUGUAGAGUAGUGGUCUACAAUGGUUUCAACGGGUAAGGGGAAUUAGGGUUCUAUUCCGGAGAGGGAGCCUGAGAAACGGCUACCACAUCCAAGGAAGGCAGCAGGCGCGCAAAUUACCCAAUCCCGACACGGGGAGGUAGUGACAAUAAAUACUGAUACAGGGUUCUUUUGGAUCUUGUAAUUGGAAUGAGUACAAUGUAAAUACCUUAACGAGGAACAAUUGGAGGGCAAGUCUGGUGCCAGCAGCCGCGGUAAUUCCAGCUCCAAUAGCGUAUAUUAAAGUUGUUGCAGUUAAAAAGCUCGUAGUUGAACCUUGGAUCUGGCUGAUCUGUCCUCCUAAUCGAGCGCACGGAUUCGGCUGGAUCUUUCCUUCUGGGGAACCCUAUGCCCUUUACUGGGCGUAGUGGGGAACCAGGACUUUUACUUUGAAAAAAUUAGAGUGUUCAAAGCAGUG
rnacentral:rRNA from 1 species